rnacentral:misc_RNA from 1 species
UUGAUUAGUGGACGGUUUAAGUACUGUGCAAUAGUGUAUAUUUUAUUGUGUGUAUGUGUUUGAAGGAUGUGUUGUUUCUCAUAAAAAAAAGUUAUGUACUUUCGCUUCAUAUGACAUAGUCACUAAAGGAUUUAAGCCUCACAAAAUCUUAAGACCAUUUACAGUCAUUAUAUUUCUAUCUCACUGCAAUAUUUUAUAUUUAUGUCAGAAUACUACUUGAAGUGAGUAUGAAAAGCAGUGAUUUGUGCAUUUAUGAACACAAUAAAUUUGAAAAGAAU